AUUUCGUCCUCCAUCCAACUGUGACCAUUCUAUUAUCUUUGCUCAAAUUUAUAUUCGUACUUUUAAGUGUCAUACUGCCAUUCUUAUAAAAUAGAUAUUUGGAAUUUUAAUAACGUCGACUUCCCAGCAUUAAAUACGGCUCUUUUACAAAUUGAUUGGCAUUCACUGUUCGACAGUGCAUUUAAUAUUGACGACGUUCAUAACACUUCGCUUCCCUAUUCCGUUCAAAACUGUUACAAUCCAAGAGACAAACCAUGGAUGAAUGGUGAGGUUUGUCAAUACGUAUAAGCGCAACCGCGCCUACUUCAUCCAUAAUAAAAAACGAAAUAAAUACUCUUGGAAAAAUUAUCGUAUAAAAUGAAAUUUAACCACAAACUUAAUUAGACUUGCUAGACAAAUCAUAUUAAUUUAAGUUACUAAAAAGUGUGGUCUCUCUCGAAAAGCCUUUGUGCACGGCAAGUCAGAUAAUUCUAGAAUACCAACUACAUUAGUAAAGUAUGAUAUAGUAAUUAAAAUAUGGCCUAAUUAAGAUUUUAACUUAAAAACAUUACAAUGUUUUUCACCGUCAUGGUGCAAAAAUGUGAUAAAAAACCAUUAUAAUAAUAACAAGACGCCUGCUCAAGGCGUUCGCUCCGUCGGUAAAGGGGAAGGGCAGCUGGGCAGCAACAGAAUUGCUUGGGGGUGAUGUAGGAAGUUGAUGAGGCGUGCUUAGCACUUUAUUAUAACCUUGUACAUACAAAUCAGAAAUGAAAGAUAUAUCCCAGUACUUUAAUUAUACUUGGUUUAGUCUACAGUAUAUAUUAUUAAUUAAAAAAUUCAUUAAUAAUUCACGAGGAAAAUACAAAAGAAAUGAAUGUUUAAUCAAUGCUUGUAAAUCGGAUAAAGAUUUGUCCUGAUUUACAUAAACGUCAGUUGUUUAUUUUUAAAAUUACUUCGCCAAUGAAUUCAUAAGAUGGGUAUUUUUUGUCGGCGAGAGUUUGUAUAUCAGAGACAGAUCGGAUGCGAAUGUUUUAUCUAGUACUUAUAGAUCGUAUACAGUUCUACUUCAAAUGUAUAAAUAGUACACAUGCUUGCACAUCUGGUUCCCAGAAGGCUUGGGAUAAGUAUCAUUGUGAAAUAAGAAGGUGAUAUAUAGUAUCUGGUGUUCCAUCAAAUUUCCACUGUGUUUUAUGUCAGUAUUGUAUUCUGGGUUGAAAAUUUUUUCUUUUAGGAUAGAGAAUGUUUCAAGAGAACUAGUAACAGUUUCCAAUAUUGUUCAGGGACAUAAUUUAUAGAACCCAUUUGCGUGAGGAUGAAUGAAACAAAUUCCAGUGCUACUAUAAGCUUAUGCCAUACACCUAUAUACUGCAUGUAUAUGCAUGUAAAUCGGAAAAGAUAAACAGAAUCAGAUACAUGCACCAUGCAGUUAGUUCUUGUAAUUUUAUAGCCAGUCGAAAUUGUACCUCGAAUAUGAUCAAAGAAACUGUCUAUGGUAUUUUCUGAAAUAUUUUGCUUUAAUCUAAAUUUAGAAAGAUGGCAGACCAAAACGGACGAGCGGUCAUGUUAGAUCCAAGACGAAAUCAAACUAUAAAAAGAAAGAAACUCUUCGAAGAAAUGUUAUUGAAAGAGAUGCCAGGUAUUUAGUGAUAGCGGAUAGCAGUGCACCAUACGAGAUUGUUGUGUAUUGUUGGAGUAUAUCCAAGUUAUUUCUGACAAACGUACAAUACAUGCAGCAUCUUCGACCCACUAUUUCCUACGACAAGGUUAUUAAAACAUUGCAAUAUCGAUAGAAGGCGCAAUAAAACAAUCACUUUCAUUAUUUUAGUAUUUAUCUUAUAGGCACCAGCCGAACAAAUGAACCAAUGCACGCGGUUCUUGAAGGUGAACUUGGUGAAAGUGAAAUGGUAGAGGGAAGAGAAGCUCAGAAUGUCAGAAAUCAUGCUUUAAUACAUUAUCUUGCAACAUUGGCUAACUCAAACAGCACCAAAGAUACAUUUGAUUUCGAUUUUGUUGAAUCACUUCUUAACAAUGGGGCAGAUAUGAACAGUACAGACAAAACUGGACAAACUGUGUUUCAUGAAGUGGCAAGAUCUUGGAAUAUCGAUGUUGCGAC